rnacentral:rRNA from 1 species
AGUUUGAUCCUGGCUCAGAACGAACGCUGGCGGCAGGCUUAACACAUGCAAGUCGAGCGCAUCCUUCGGGGUGAGCGGCAGACGGGUGAGUAACGCGUGGGAAUCUACCUUUUGCUACGGAAUAGCUCCGGGAAACUGGAAUUAAUACCGUAUGUGCCCUUAGGGGGAAAGAUUUAUCGGCAAGAGAUGAGCCCGCGUUGGAUUAGCUAGUUGGUGGGGUAAAGGCCUACCAAGGCGACGAUCCAUAGCUGGUCUGAGAGGAUGAUCAGCCACAUUGGGACUGAGACACGGCCCAAACUCCUACGGGAGGCAGCAGUGGGGAAUAUUGGACAAUGGGCGCAAGCCUGAUCCAGCCAUGCCGCGUGAGUGAUGAAGGCCUUAGGGUUGUAAAGCUCUUUCACCGGAGAAGAUAAUGACGGUAUCCGGAGAAGAAGCCCCGGCUAACUUCGUGCCAGCAGCCGCGGUAA